GUUAGGGAUCUGCUAUGGCUGGGACUUCAAACUGGGCCUGGGCCUUGGGCCUUCUGCUGGGACAGAAGUCUACAAAAGGAAGAGAGCAAGAGCUGGGACGACAUCGAACAAUUAUUCAGAAACUGAACUCCUCUUCUCUUGGUCCUGUUCAUCUUCUUCCUCAAGCCUCUAUCUGUAGGUCUGGAACUCUCAUCCUUCCCAAGUUCUAGUUCUCCAAUCCUCCAUCUAGAUUGCUUUGCUAAGCUCCAGACCUCCCUUCCCCUGAGGUCGUGUACUCUGAUUUGUAUCUGAAUCGAGCUAUUCUGUGAACCAGUUGAGAGGUGUGCUAACUAUUGGUAUCAGAGACAGUCGAUUCUCGGUAUCCACCACCAUGAGGGAUAGAGAUUCAGUGACUUGCCUUGAGCAAGUCACGACGUAACUUACCUUCUCCAUCCAUUAUUCCAAAGUCUUGUUUAGUUCAAUUUUUUUUAUAAAAUUUAAAAAAAUUCAGAUAUUUUCCAUCAUAUCAAAUUUUACAGCACGUGUAUGGAACAUUAAAUAUAGAUAAAAAAAUAAUUAAUUACACAGUUUGUCUAUAAUUUGUGAGAUAAAUCUUUUGAGCCUAGUUAAUCCAUGAUCGGACAAUAUUUAUCAAAUACAAACGAAAAUGCUACACUAUCUAUUUUGUAAAUUUUUUUGGAACUAAACAAGGCCCAAAUCAGAUCCAGUGGCUCAAAACAGAUCCAUCCCUUCAACUCAUGAGACUUGGUUGUAUUUUCGGACAUAGAUAGUAGAUAGCAGCAUAAUUCAUAGUUUCAAAAAAAGAAAAAAAGACAAUAAUUUAGGUCCAUAAUUCAGAUGGACAUAUACAUAGCAGUUUAACAAAGCACAAUAAAAUACAAGUCCAAUCAUAGACUAACUAGACUCAAAAGAUUCAGUGGCUCGCAAAAUUAUGUAAUUAGUUAUUUUUUAUGUAUAAUUAUUUUUUAUCUAUAUUUAAUUCUUCAUGCAUGUGUCAUAAGAUUUGAUAUAACGUGGAAUUUCUGAAAAAUUUAAAUUUUACAAAAAAAAUUAAAAACUAAAUAAAGUGUUGGAGGAAUGAAUGUAGGAGGUAAGUUACAUUGUAACUUGCCCAACGUCUGAGAAGUGUGUCUCCAUCGUGCUCGACGCUGCCUGUGCUUCACCCACCGCGCAUAUUCCUCCACAGGAUAUGCCUUCGAAGGUUUUGGUAACAGCCUCAAGCAAGCCUGCUACCAUCUCUAUUCAUGCUCAGAUGGUGUUCGUUGAAAUGCCAAACUGUACUCAAACUCUGACAGCAAGCAAGCCUGCACCCGUGUUCACCUCCCGUGUUGCGGCGAUGGCUCCUACCAGCAUGUCUUCGUCUGUGUUGACAAGUGCUCACGAGUUGCUCGGUGGACUGCUCAGCAGGUAUAUCACCAUCCUCUUCCCUACUCCUAUGAUGGAUGUUCUAUUGUUGGAUUGUGCUGCCACUGUGCAUGAGGGACAGAGAAAUCAAAACAUGGCUGAGCUCGAGGUGGUGGUUAGAGCUGAGCCUGCACGUACCCAACCAUGGAUGCCUAGCUUGGCUGGACGAGCAACUACCUUGCUCUGUGCUGUACGUGGCCAUCAUGAGGAGAAGGGCUACAAGUCUGUUGAGUAUGACAUUUGGACAGGCUUCUUGAUACGGAAACAAGAUGGUGGCAGCGCCAACUAUGGUAAUAACUGCACUUCUCAUUUGGAGUCCUUUCAUUCAGAUGCUGAGAGCAAUGUCAGUCUUGAUCUCAAUGUUGCUAGAAGAGCCUUGACCAUGUGUAUAAUCAUUGCUGGUCAGUCGCCUUCACUUGUUGAUGGAGUUGGUUUUCAGAGUUUUGUUAGUGCUCUUAAUCGGCUAGUCCCUGUAAGCCGCCCAACUUUUGACCAAGAUCUGAUGACUUUAUAUGGAAGGGAAAAGGAUGCUCUGCAUUCCACCAUAUCUGAAACAUUUGAUGCUGGCUGGAAGUUGCAGAGAAGAAUAGUGGGUUUUAAAUUCAUGGAAAUUACUGAUGAUGAUAACUUUAUUGUUGUUGUGCUGCCGUAUCUUGCCAGCAAGGGACCAUGGCCACCACCUGACGAACUGAGGUUGACGAGUUGUGAUGUUGAGUUACGGCCUACACCAUGGCCGACGUUCAUCAUGGCCGAGUGGUUCUCUGUCAAUAGUUACUGUGGUCGAUUGUGGAAGCCCCCAUGGCCUAUACAAAUUUGCCAACAAAUCAACAUAUUUCAUGAAUUUACUUUACAAUGGUGCUUUGUGUUUGACUGUGGCAAGUGCCUUCAGCUUGGUGGUUUGCAUCUCUUGCUAUCACUGAGCAUGGUUGGCUGCGCAUUGAUUCACAAGCUAGUACAGCGGAAGUGUGGUGGCAAUUGUUGGUGUUUCUUGCUUGAAGUGGCAGGACAACAAUCUCAAGUUGUAGGAGGAAAGACCAGGGAUCACUGGCGGGCUGAACAAGAUCUGUUGCAGCAAUUUUUGUCUUCUGGUACAACAGUGGGAAGUUCUGGCAACCUGCUAGCACUGGUAGCACUCAUGGUCAUGGAUGACAAACCAACAGUGAGAUGGGUUCAUUCUACAGACCUAAUCUCUGAUCAAACAUACAAGCUACUGAAUGUUUUCUGUGACUACAAGUCCCUUGUGCAUUCAUUUCCGCAGUGUGACAAGAUUCUGGAUAUUGCUAAUACUGAAGCAUUGAUCCUCUCAAGCACCCAACAAUAAACCCAUGGCAUGUACCACUUCGACAAGAAUUUCCGCAGUUUCCUUGGGAUCCCGAAGCUUCCAUAUUUUUUUUCCAUCGGCUUGGGGGCAAGCCGAAUCUCAAGAAGAGGGGAAUGUUAGGGAUCUGCUAUGGCUGGGACUUCAAACUGGGCCUGGGCCUUGGGCCUUCUGCUGGGACAGAAGUCUACAAAAGGAAGAGAGCAAGAGCUGGGACGACAUCGAACAAUUAUUCAGAAACUGAACUCCUCUUCUCUUGGUCCUGUUCAUCUUCUUCCUCAAGCCUCUAUCUGUAGGUCUGGAACUCUCAUCCUUCCCAAGUUCUAGUUCUCCAAUCCUCCAUCUAGAUUGCUUUGCUAAGCUCCAGACCUCCCUUCCCCUGAGGUCGUGUACUCUGAUUUGUAUCUGAAUCGAGCUAUUCUGUGAACCAGUUGAGAGGUGUGCUAACACAAAGGUUUUUGGCAACUAGUACAAGUUAGCAUUACUCAAUUACACAAAACAGAGGCUGUUCGGUAUAGUUGGCGUUGAUUUCAUCAGUAUAUAUCAUUUUCUGAAUUAUGACAAUAGUCAACCUGUUUGAACGGAUUAGUUCCUUGGGCUAAACAGCCAAAGUCCCUGUCCUCCUAUUUGUUUUAGUGAUACUGUAAAAUGUAGAUAAAUGGAUCAAACAUUAGUACAACAAAUUUCAAGAGAUUUUUUUAACUGUCACGGGGAAAAUCUCCCCACAUUAAUUUUAUUUCAUUGAUCUAGGUCCGAUGGACCCAUCUGUUUACAAGGAUUUUCA
rnacentral:lncRNA from 1 species